UUCAUACAGUCUUCCCUGGAAUUAAUUUCUACCUCAUUUCCACUUAAAGGCGUAUUAUUUCAGCAAACACAAAUCUUUAGCUACAAGAAGACCACAGCAUAAUUUAAGAGGGAGAAAGACAAAAUGGAAUGUACUAGAGAUUUAAAACCAUCAUUGGUUUUUUGAAACACCUGAAAGGCUUGCAUGUGGAAGAGGAUGAUGGAUACUAAGACCACUGCCAACAGGAGGGACUUGAAAGCAGGCAGAUCUCUGCUGCAUGUAAGUAGGGCUUUACAACAUGACAACUGUCCCCAGUGGACUGGCUGCCUAGAGAAGUGGUGCUCUUGCAGUUACUGGGUAUUUAAAAAAGAACGUGUUGUAGAAGGAAGUCUAGUUAUAAGACCCUUUCAGUACCUAAAAACUCUAUGAUUCUAUGGUUCUCAAUAUAGACUUAUGUUUACUCAUUCAACAAAUAUUUAAUGAGCACUUUUUAUGUCAAUGAGGGACUAUCACAGGAGAAAGAGAACCACUGCCUGUUAGGGGGUCACUGUCCAUCGGGGGGUUGGGGGCAAGACAUGAAGGCAAGCUUCUGGCAUGAAGGAAACAGUUGUGAAAGAGGCCCAGGCCAAAGGCAAGGGGAAUGCACAGGAGAAAGAUGGCCUGGGGCUGAGAGGAACAGAGAAGAGCUGGAGCUGAAAGACUGGAAAGGUGGAUGUUGUGAGGGCAGGAAAUGAGCACUCGGAACCUGUAUUAAGAUCUAGUGAAAAGCUCUUUUUAAAGUAUGUACUGCCACUUCUUUAUAGAGAAACUCCAAUACAAGAAGAGUAAAACUUAGUCAAGCAAAAGGGGUGAAUCAGUGGCAGAGCUGAGGGGAAAAAUUCAGCAACUUCUCAUUCCCAGGCUUCUCUUCAGGACAUGUUAGUUGACUGGGGCAAAGAACCCUUAUUUCUGAGUUUAUCUGACUCACUCAAUGUUACACAUUGACAGAGUCAUGUAGCUUUUCUAAGAUCUUCUGGGAACAAAGUAGGCCUCUCAAUUUGGUCACAGGAAGAUUUCCACUCAGUGCAACCAGGAGCUAAGCUCUGGUUUCCUCAUGGUCAGGAGGUGCCUGGGAAAGCACGGUUACUGAGCAGGUGACGUGAGCAGCUCCUCUCUUCCUUGUAUCGGAGGGCAGCACUUCGCUAACUGCUGGAAAAAAGAUGACUUUGGGACCUCUUUUCAUUGUGAACAACUCCUUUCACAUUAAUCACUUUCAAAACAGAGAUGAAAGAUUGGACUAAUUAAUGGACCCCAACAGAGUCUGUCAUGAGAAGGGGAAAAAGGACAGAAACUGUGGGAAAUGCAGACCAUCUCCUUAAUCCAGAUGCAAUGGCACAUCUCUUACAGCCAAAGCUUUUCAUCAGCAAUGA